GCCAGGAUGGUCUCGAUCUCCAGACGUCGUGAUCCGCCUGCCUCGGCCUCCCAAAGUGCUGGGAUUACAGGCGUGAGCCACCGCGCCCGGCCUACCAUUUCUUUUUUUCCUGUGUAUUCACCUCUUCAGCUCCUUAGGAAUGCCAUUAUAACCUUUACCUUCUCUCCACCGGGCACUUCCUGCACGGCAAGUUUAUCUUACUAAAUGUUUGCUUAGAAAUUCUAAUGACCAUGUGUUGAACCAAACCUGGCACCGUCUGGAACUCCUCCCUACCAGGAGAAUACCUAGGGACAAUGGUCAAUUUACAACCUAGUUCUGGCCAGAUGCUGCCAGCCGGAACAUCGCCUAGCUAAGAAGUGGAAGCAAGUCACACAGACCCUGCACCUCCUCGUGCCCCGCCCCUGCAUGCCAUUCAUGACAUGUCCGCCUUUAAAGCCCCUGCUUUUUGCCCCAGAAGAUGAAAUGGUUUCCUUAAGGGAGGAGCCUGUACUGUUUCCCCUCAGCUAAGCUCUGGAAUAAAAGUCGCUUUCUUUUACCAACCUCAUGCUUGUUAUCUAAAUUUGCAAGUGGCUGAACCUGCAUUCAGGUACAAUUUUGGUGGCCCAUACAGGGAGUGUUGUGUGUUCCAGGGGCCUGAGCCUGCUGGUCUGGUUCUACUGGAGAGGGCAUAUGGCUGCCCGUGAACACCAGCUGCUUAUGGCUAGCCGACCCCAUGGCUGGAACAUUAGGAAUUUCUCUGAAGCUGCCAAGAUGCUUUUGUUUUUGGGAAACUGUCUUUCACUUCUGGCAUGAUGCCUGUGGCCUUUCUUUGUUGGUACAAAGAAAAUGAACUCUGAAGAAGGCAACCUUUGGAACUGGGUGAGCAAGUUGGAGUAUACCUGACCACCCCCUGCCUCUUUUGGGGUGUUGCUGCGGCUCUAUUUAGAUUUGGCUGCCAGAAACAACAUUUGAGCUUUUUCUGCAUUUGUGUUUGUAUUUGCAGCACCCUUGAGGCAUUGCUUGGUUUGGACUCAGUCAUCUGGAAGAGCUAUUUGGAACUGAGGCAGGAGAUUUAGGACUAAACCCAGCCUCUUAACUGGGGAUCUGUUUGGAAGCACUCUAUUUGUUUGUGUGAGUGUAUGACCUUUGUGUAUAGGCCCUGACUCCUUCCUUUCCUGUUCACUUUUAACUUCAUCUUCCCGAUUAUCUCAGAGAGCCACCUACAGCCUUAGUCUUCUUGGCCAAAGGCACCCUUAGCUCUGUCUGGUUGGAAAUAGUUUAACUUGACCAGUGAUUUACGGAGGCAGGAGGGAUUCAUCCCACACCAUGCAGGUCUAGGAUACUGUGGCUCUUCCUGAUGGGAGGUAAAUGGGAGUGGUGAGGGUACCAACCAC
rnacentral:lncRNA from 1 species